rnacentral:rRNA from 1 species
AUGAACGCUAGCGACAGGCCUAACACAUGCAAGUCGAGCGGCAGCGCGGGGGCAACCCUGGCGGCGAGCGGCGAACGGGUGAGUAACAUAUCGGAACGUACCCUGUCGUGGGGGAUAACACAGCGAAAGCUGUGCUAAUACCGCAUACGACCUGAGGGUGAAAGCGGGGGAUCGCAAGACCUCGCGCGAUAGGAGCGGCCGAUAUCGGAUUAGCUUGUUGGUGAGGUAAAGGCUCACCAAGGCGACGAUCCGUAGCUGGUCUGAGAGGACGACCAGCCACACUGGAACUGAGACACGGUCCAGACUCCUACGGGAGGCAGCAGUGGGGAAUUUUGGACAAUGGGGGCAACCCUGAUCCAGCCAUUCCGCGUGAGUGAAGAAGGCCUUCGGGUUGUAAAGCUCUUUCAGCAGGAACGAAACGGUGGCUACUAAUACUAGCUACUAAUGACGGUACCUGAAGAAGAAGCACCGGCUAACUACGU